rnacentral:misc_RNA from 1 species
UCUCCGUUGGUGAACCAGCGGAGGGAUCAUUACCGAGUUUACAACUCCCAAACCCAAUGUGAACGUUACCAAACUGUUGCCUCGGCGGGGUCACGCCCCGGGUGCGUCGCAGCCCCGGAACCAGGCGCCCGCCGGAGGAACCAACCAAACUCUUUCUGUAGUCCCUUCGCGGACGUUAUUUCUUACAGCUCUGAGCAAAAAUUCAAAAUGAAUCAAAACUUUCAACAACGGAUCUCUUGGUUCUG